GAUCGUCAAGUCUAGGUAUAAGCAAUUUAUACAGCGAAACUGCGAAUGGCUCAUUAAAUCAGUUAUGAUCUACAUGACAAAUUUUUUACUACUGGAUAACCGUGGUAAUUCUAGAGCUAAUACAUGCAGAAAAGCCCUGACUUCGGAAGGGGUGCACUUAUUAGGUAAAAACCAUCCCACCUUUACCGGUGGUUUUAUGGUGACUCAUAAUAAUUAAGCUGAUCGCAUGGCCUUGAGCCGGCGACGGUACAUUCGAUUUUCUGCCCUAUCAGGCUUAUGAUGGUAAGGUAGUGGCUUACCAUGGCUAUCACGGGUAACGGGGAAUUAGGGUUCGAUUCCGGAGAGGGAGCCUGAGAAACGGCUACCACAUCCAAGGAAGGCAGCAGGCGCGCAAAUUACCCAAUACCGACACGGUGAGGUAGUGACAAUAAAUAACAAUGCAGGGUCUUUAUGGUCUUUGCAAUUGGAAUGAGUACAAUUUAAAUCCCUUAACGAGGAUCAAUUGGAGGGCAAGUCUGGUGCCAGCAGCCGCGGUAAUUCCAGCUCCAAAAGCGUAUAUUAAAGUUGUUGCAGUUAAAACGUCCGUAGUCGAACUUACGCCUUGUGGCUAUGCAGCUGGUCAUUCAUUUGGCUAGAUUUGUUUUAGCCCGGGUGAUAAAGUUUGGGUAUGAUCAUGUUGGCUUCGGUCGGUGUGGGUUCUCUGCCCAAGCGGUAUUACCAUGAGCAAAUCAGAAAUGCUCAAAGUAGGCCCUUCGUGCCCUGAAUGUGUAUAGCCAUGGA
rnacentral:rRNA from 1 species